rnacentral:other from 1 species
CCAUCUCUAGGAUGCACGCCAAUCUAUCGCGUCCCCUGAGCCGAUUUCAUCUCUUUGGGAAGCGGUAUUGAUGUGGUGGUGUGCAUGUCUGUUCAGUGCCCGGCCUGUCCGGUCACCAGCAGAAAGCCUGAUCCGCAUACUGGCUUCCCCCUUGAACCUUUGGGUUCAAGGGCCAAGAUGGGUAGCGGCAUUCUGGAGCCUUU